AUCUAAUGGGUGGUGAUCAGCACAUUGUUUACUUAAUGACAUUGAACCAGUCAUUUGUAGGACUGAACCAGUCAUUUGUAGGACCUCAUUGCAUGUUAUUUUAACUGGAGUGCCUUUCGUGUUUGGGCCACCUGCUGCCUAGGGACACAUGAGUCCUUGUGUAAGGUGGUACCAUCAGGUUAUUGUCGGAAGGAGGGAACUACAGAGUGCACACAUAUCCCGGAACCAUGCAGCCUUCAAAUGGCAAGGAGAGAGCUGGACUGUUACCUGUAUAGGCCAAAACAGUAUGGUUUUAGAUGGAAAGGUUUUAGCAAGGAACAUUGAGUACCCGCUCAGCCUGGAGUCAAAAAUUAGGUUCACAGAGCGGGAUGUGAACGUGUACAAGUUAAGGGUCUCUUCUUGGAAGGGGGUGAGAGAGUCUGGUAGCACAUCAACAGAAAGUCACAAGAAACUAAGACAAGAAAGUGAAAGUAGCACAGAGGAAGGUGGAGUGAAGCAUGAAUACAAUGAGCUGGAGCAGCAGCUGAGGGGCAGUGAAGCAAUACAGGCACAGCUCAAGGAAGAGAGGGACCACAUGCAUCAAUCCCUUCAACAGCAACAGAUGCUUUUGGAAGAAAAGUAUAAACAAAAUAGAGCUCAGUUGGAAGAACAGUUUCAAAAUGGUGCCUUAGCCCAGCAGGCAAUGCUGGAAGAAAAAGAAGCACUAGCACAAAAGUUACAUGAAGAGAUUGCAAAACUUCAGACAGAAUUGGAAGGAGAAAGAAAAGUUUUAGAGGAUCGCCUGAGGCAAGAGGAAGAAAGAAAUAAGGUUCUUCAAGAAAAGGAGAAUGAACUUCGACGAUUGGCAGAGGAGAAGGCCAGUCUGGAGGAACAGCAAAAAGCAGAACGUCAGCGACUCCAGCAGCAGCUCCAGGACAUUGAGUCUCAUCAAGAGGAGUUGAGGCAGCAGGUGGAAGAUAAAAACUCUGCCAUCCAAGUCAAAGAGGCAGAGUACCAGUUGGCAGAGGAGGAGAGGCAGAGGCUCCAGGAGGCACUGGCACAGGAACGCUUGACACGGGAAGAAGAAAAAUUCAAAAUGCAGGAAGAGUUGAUGCUCACCAAAGCUCAAGAACAGCGUGCCUUAAAAGAAACUUUGGAUGCCCUGGAGGGUGAAAAGCAGAAGCUGAUGGCAGACUUGGCCUCCUCUGCUAUGGUCUCCUCAGAGGCCAAGAAGGAGGUGGUGGAGUCAGUGUCUCACGUCUUGGAAGAUGAAUUUCAGUGUGCAAUAUGCAAUGAGCUCUUCAUUAAUGCUGUGCUACUGAGUUGCAGUCACACUUUCUGCAAAUACUGCAUAGACCGUUGGAAAAAAAACAAAAAGGAAUGUCCCAACUGCCGUCUUCCAAUAACAUCAGAGUCCAAAUCAUUAGUGGUGGACAAUUUCAUUGAGAAGAUUGUACCUACACUAUCAGAGGAAAUGAAGAAGAAAAGGACACAGAUUGUAGCUGAAAGAAAUGCUGAAAUGAAGGCUGCUGAAGAAGCUGCUGCUGCUGCUGCUGCUGCUGCAGCUGCCAGUAGAGGAAACAGAGGACGAGGAGGAAGAGGGCGGAAUAAUAGAGGAAGAGGAGGUCAGAGAGGGCAGGCAGUCUUGGUGCACACUACUAAUAUGGUCAACACAGUUCCUGCUGCACCCUCUAACUAUGUAAAUAACCAAGUACAGUACAUUCCCCAUAUGGGUAAUCAGAGAGUUGUCAGGAUUCGAGUGCCAGCACUUAAUAUCCAAACCAUGCCAAAUAAUCAGGGGAUUGUAAGAAUUCAAGUGCCUGCAAGUGAAGCCCAAACCCUGCAGAAUAUUCAGGGCAUGGUCAGGCUUCACCUUCCAGCAGCUAAUGGACAAGCACCUCCAGGAUCUUCAAGCAACCCUCUUAGACUCACCUAGGUCAUCUUCAUCAGGGCGGCGUGGACACUGGGCCAAUGGCUGUCUGGAAUACUGACGCCGCUGAUGGAGGAGCUACACUAGAGUGGACUCUGUGAUACCGUGAAGAGCCAGCUCCUUCAGGGUGUUGUCCAGAUACCCAGGAUCAGGGUAGCCAUGGCCUCUUGUGUUGUUCCACUCAGUCUUGUGGUGGAUUUCAUUCCAGGUGACACAAUUAUCCAUACCUGUGGUGACUGAGGGACCCACAGUGAAGAUUAGUCGCCGGCGCCAUGCCUCACGUAGAAGUCUCACUACCUGUGCCGCACAUACCAAGAAUUAGAACGAUCACAUUCUUGAAAUCAAAUCACCCAGUGCUCUAAUACAAAAUACAAAGGUCUUAUAAUGAAAAGUUUAGAUAAAUAUGCACCAGUUGCUUGUGGCCCAAACCUUACAGAUCCACAACAGGCAACAUCUGCCAUUACAUUUUCUAUGGAGGUGGUGUUGGGUACAUGCCUAUGACAGGGCUUCUAUACCAUAUCCUCCUAGAAGCUAGGCUACAACUGCAAGUGCUUGUGGAUGAGAGAGAGAGAGAGAGAGAGAGAGAGAGAGAGAGAGAGAGAGAGAGAGAGAGAGAGAGAGAGAGAGAGAGAGAGAGAGAGAGAGAGAGAGAGAGAGAGAGAGACUCUGAGCUCAUGUGUGUCCAAGUCAGAUAUGUUCCCUGUGAUCUCCAUAAUGGUACAAUUUAAAAGUGAGAAAGAAAUAAGUAAAAUGACAAACUGAAUUUGAAGCUGAAUGUAAACAUAUUUAUAUUCUCCCAGUGAUUAAAAAUAGUUUUAUA